rnacentral:rRNA from 1 species
UACGAAGGGGGCAAGCGUUGUCCGGAUUUAUUGGGCGUAAAGAGCUCGUAGGCGGUUUGUCGCGUCGGCCGUGAAAUCUCCACGCUUAACGUGGAGCGUGCGGUCGAUACGGGCAGACUUGAGUUCGGUAGGGGAGACUGGAAUUCCUGGUGUAGCGGUGAAAUGCGCAGAUAUCAGGAGGAACACCGGUGGCGAAGGCGGGUCUCUGGGCCGAUACUGACGCUGAGGAGCGAAAGCGUGGGGAGCGAACAGG